rnacentral:misc_RNA from 1 species
GUUGUGAUAGUCAUAGUGAGAGAGUGGAUGCUAAUGGGACUCUGAGGUCUUCACUUCUCAACCUUAAUAACCAUGCUGAGAACAUCAAAUGUGAAGUUAGGGAGGAAGAACCUAAUGCUAAUGGAUUAUUUUGUGUGCCACCAGCAUCAGAUCUCUCUGAAAAUGUAGCAUCAGAAUCUGGAUUUUGCAAUUCAACACAUCCUGCUCAAGACUAUGUUGAUGUAAGCACACAUGAGGUGUCUAAACUUUCAUUAGCGGACCAGAAGACUAGUAAAGCUGUGGAGGCCAUGGCAAAUAGG